UACGGAGGGUGCGAGCGUUGUCCGGAAUCACUGGGCGUAAAGGGCGUGUAGGCGGCUGGAUAAGUGGGAUGUUAAAUCCCCCGGCUCAACCGGGGACCUGCAUCUCAUACUGUUCAGCUCGAGCACAUCAGAGGAGACUGGAAUUCCCGGUGUAGCGGUGAAAUGCGUAGAUAUCGGGGAGGAACACCCAGUGGCGAAGGCGAGUCUCUGGGAUGAUGCUGACGCGUGAGGCGACGGAAAGCCAGGGGAGCAA
rnacentral:rRNA from 1 species